UUGAGGAGGCGGUGACCAUGGCAGUGUAGGUGGAAGCAGCGGUGGAGGAGGAGGAUAAGGUAGCCAACACUGUUUAUAUAUAUCUAUUUUUUAUUUUAAUUGGGGUAGCCGCCAAAAUAUUGGUACAUUUAAAAAAAGACAACUCUCUUCCGCAGAGUAGCUGUUGAUAUUAUAGUUGCGCAGGCACUUUGUUGAAUCUAGAGAACCUCAGGCCAAUUGCACAUCCUCGUGACAGCGACUUUGCAUUCGGAUGUCAUCCAUAUCAACUUUCGAUGCGCCUACCAUGGUGACCAUGGGUAACAGGGAAUCAGGGUUCCAUUCCAUAUAUGGACCCUGAGAAAUGGCUACCACAUGCAAGGAAGGCAGCAGGUGCCCAAAUGACCCACUCUCGACGCGAGAAGGUAGUGAUGACAAAUAACAAUACAGGACUUUUUAGAGGCCCUGUAAUUGUAAUGAGUCCACUUGAAAUCCUUUAACUCGGAUCAAUUGGAGGGAAGUCUGGUGCAGAGCCACUGACCCGUGCGUGCUGCAGCUGAAACUCCACU